AAGUCCUGAGAGCGCCAGAAGUCAAAGCUCAACAGAAAUUCAUCACUUAGAACUAUGGAGAAAUGAUAAAGAACAUACUAAGGAUAGCUGCAAAUUUCAAGGCUCAAUGAAAAUCAGCAAAAGGAUAUUUCAUUCUUCCUGAAGAUACUUUAUAUGGUAACUUUGCAUGAAGACUGAUGCAGAUGUUCUUUCUCACUGUUAUGAUUUACAAAAGCUUGGCUCUCUGAGAUGUAGGUUGCCUGAACAAUUCCGAGACCUCAGAAGGAUGGCUAGAGAACAUCUUUAUAAUAGACAGUUGAGUCAUGAAAAAUGAUCUACUACAAAAAUCUCUUCAAGUAAUGCACACUAGCAGGAUAUACCUGAAAGACUACUCAGACCAUGAUCUCAUCACCAUAUAUUAACCAAAAGCUGUACUAUAAAGAUAAUAUCUACAGUGAUGAGUUGGAAUCACUACAGAUGGUGCCAUUUCUUCUACCAGAAUCUUCACCAGAACAAUCUUCAUUAUACAUACUGAUGUCUCUUUCCUGUAUAGCAGCAGACACCACCUGCAGAUAAGAAACGCUUACGUGAGAAAUGCUCAUUUUGGGAUAUCAUCGAUGAAACUAUAAUUUGGGCAUGGUGACUGUUUCCCUUGCUGCCACUUGACUCAGUCCCAGGAGUUUAAUAGAUGAAAUAAUACUGUACAAGAAGCUCAAAAUGGUGGAAGUAAAUAGUGCUCCUAUGAAUAUAGAUAUUAAUGAUUUUAAAUAUUAAAAAGAAAAUCCAUGAUUAAGCAAACCUGAAUGCAUACUUAUAUGAUUAAUCCAUAAAUUAUGUGCCUCCUUUUUUGAAGAUUAUCCAUAUGGUUUCUCUCUGUUAAGGGAAGGGUAUAAAUGCUUUUAAGCAAUAAAUAUACAAGCAUUAACACUACUGUCUGGUGGGGGGGACUUAUACUAUUAUAUGGCCAUAUUGUUAUACAAUUUGCUACUUUUGUUUGAGUCUUUUUGAUGAGCUUUUACUAUUUCAGUACUAUAUUCAUAUUUAUGUCAUUUGUUGAAUGACUAUAUGACUGUUUCCUAAGUGAAAUAGAAUUAAACAUUUUAAACAUUGCUUAUACAUUGGCAUUUACAUAGGUGCCAUUUUUUGUAUGAUGGACUUAUAUAUAUAUAUAUUUAUCUUUCUGCAUUCAUCUACUCUAACAGAGUAAAUUUACCUAGAACUUAAAUUAUUGAAAUUAAGUAUAUUAAUACUUCAAGUUUUUAAAAUUAUGACUUUUUAAAUGAUAUUCUUGAAGAGUUUCUCCUCAGAGCCAAUUCUUCAAAAUACUAUUAUGGCGAAUUUUACAAAUGACUGAAAUCCUUUUCAGUGUAUUAGCCCAAACUGUUGUUCUGAACUGUAUUUAUUUUAUUUUGAGUUUGAUCAUUUUCAUGUUUAUUAGCC